rnacentral:rRNA from 1 species
GUUGUAUAGUUAAGUGACUAAGCGUACAAGGUGGAUGCCUUGGCAAUCAGAGGCGAAGAAGGACGUGCUAAUCUGCGAAAAGCUUGGAUGAGUCGAUAAGAGGCGUUUAAUCCAAGAUGUCCGAAUGGGGAAACCCAGUAGAUGAAGAAUCUACUAUCACUUACUGAAUCCAUAGGUAAGUGAGGCAAACCGGGAGAACUGAAACAUCUAAGUACCCCGAGGAAAAGAAAUCAACCGAGAUUUCGUUAGUAGCGGCGAGCGAACGCGAAGGAGCCUGUUAGUGAUAAUGACAGAGACAGAGGAACAAGCUGGGAAGCUUGGCGAUACAGGGUGAUAGCCCCGUACUCGAAGUCCAGGUUAUGGUACUAAGCUAACGACAAGUAGGGCGGGACACGUGAUAUCCUGUUUGAAGAUGGGGGGACCAUCCUCCAAGGCUAAAUACUCCUGAUUGACCGAUAGUGAACCAGUACUGUGAAGGAAAGGCGAAAAGAACCCCGGUGAGGGGAGUGAAAUAGAACCUGAAACCUUGUACGUACAAGCAGUGGGAGCCUUUUAAGGGUGACUGCGUACCUUUUGUAUAAUGGGUCAGCGACUUAUAUUUUGUAGCGAGGUUAACCGAAUAGGGGAGCCGAAGGGAAACCGAGUCUUAACUGGGCGUCUAGUUGCAAGGUAUAGACCCGAAACCCGGUGAUCUAGCCAUGGGCAGGUUGAAGGUUGGGUAACACUAACUGGAGGACCGAACCGACUAAUGUUGAAAAAUUAGCGGAUGACUUGUGGCUGGGGGUGAAAGGCCAAUCAAACCGGGAGAUAGCUGGUUCUCCCCGAAAUCUAUUUAGGUAGAGCCUUGAGCGGACACCUUCGGGGGUAGAGCACUGUUUCGGCUAGGGGUCCAUCCCGGAUUACCAACCCGAUGCAAACUACGAAUACCGAAGAGUGAUACUCAGGAGACACACGGCGGGUGCUAACGUCCGUCGUGGAGAGGGAAACAACCCAGACCGCCAGCUAAGGUCCCAAAGUCUAUAUUAAGUGGGAAACGAAGUGGGAAGGCUUAGACAGCUAGGAUGUUGGCUUAGAAGCAGCCAUCAUUUAAAGAAAGCGUAAUAGCUCACUAGUCGAGUCGGCCUGCGCGGAAGAUGUAACGGGGCU